rnacentral:rRNA from 1 species
AUUGAACGCUGGCGGCAUGCCUUACACAUGCAAGUCGAACGGUAACAGGCCGCAAGGUGCUGACGAGUGGCGAACGGGUGAGUAAUGCAUCGGAACGUGCCCAGUCGUGGGGGGUAACUGCUCAAAAGAGCAGCUAAUACCGCAUACGACCUGAGGGUGAAAGCGGGGGACCGUAAGGCCGCGCGCGAUUGGAGCGGCCGAUGUCAGAUUAGCUAGUUGUUGGGGUAAAGGCCUACCAAGGCAACGAUCUGUAGUUGGUCUGAGAGGCCGACCAGCCACACUGGGACUGAGACACGGCCCAGACUCCUACGGGAGGCAGCAGUGGGGAAUUUUGGACAAUGGGCGCAAGCCUGAUCCAGCAAUGCCGCGUGCAGGAAGAAGGCCUUCGGGUUGUAAACUGCUUUUGUCAGGGAAGGAAUCUUCUGGGCUAAUACCCCGGGAGGAUGACGGUACCUGAAGAAUAAGCACCGGCUAACUACGUGCCAGCCGCCGCGGUAACAC